UGGGUGCCGGGUCGCCGGGCAGGCGACGGCGCGUGGCGGCCGAGCAGCGUGUGUGGUGUGACCCUGGCGGAGGCUCCUUUCUCCCCAUUCUUUGCUGUAGUCAGUCAAUGAAAUAUUUGUUGAGCACCUGUUGUGAUCGUCCAGGCACUGUUUUAGCCGCUGGGGUAGGACAGUGAACAAUGUCAAGCCCUUGGCCUCCUGGCGCUUAAGUUCUAGUAGAGAGGUGUGGGCAGUAAACAAAUACGGUGCUAAGAGCUCUAAAGAGAAAUAAAACGGCCCGCAGUGACAGGUAGUGUCAUUCUAAAUGGAGUGGUCCCGGAAAACCUCUGAAGUGGUGUUAUUUCAGCAAAAGAUCUGAAGAAAGUGAGACAGUGUCCUAUCUCUUUCUGCCAAACCUGGUUAAUUUUACUGAAGAUGAUGAGGAAGAAUGGCUAAUCUAACAUUAAGAAAAUAUUUUGUGUGAGACAGCAAGAUGGAAGAAAGGAACAAAAGUACUACAAAACUAUGUGAAAUCAAUUAGCAAAAAGCAAUACAUUACCCACAAUAGCCAAGACGUGGAAGCAACCCAAGUGCCCAUCAGUGGAUGAAUGGAUAAAGAUGUGGCAUACAUAUACAAUGGAAUACUACUCAGCCAUAAAAAAAGACAAAAUCGUCCCAUCUGCGACAACAUGGAUGGACCCUGAGGGUAUUAAGUGAAAUAAGCCAGACAGAGAAAGACAAACACCUUAUAAUUUCACUCAUAUGUGGAAGAUAAACAGACUCAUGGAUAAAGAGAACAGAUUGGUGGUUACCAGAGAGGAAAGGGGUGGAGGGGGGAAGGACAAAAGGGGUAAAGGGGCACACGUAUGGUGACAGAUAAAAUCUCAACUCUCGGGGGUGAGCAAGAUGGAGUCUAUACAGAAACUGAUAGAUAAUGUACACCUGAAAUUACACAGUUAUAAACCAAUACGACCACAAUAAAAUAAUUAAAAAAAAAAAAAAGAGGUGAGGAAGCAUUCCCCUACAAGUUUCAGAGGGAACAGAGAGUUGACACCAUGAUUUAUGACGCCUUGAUUUCAGACUUCUAGCCUCCAGAGCUGAGACAAUAAAUUUCUAUUAUAAGCCACCCCGUUUGUGGUACUUUGUUACAAUAGCCCCUAUUGUUGGACAAGUAGAGCCUCCACUUUGGGCUUUUAUAGAUAUAUCUUAGCACAUCUGCAAUCAUUUCCUCAGGAUUAGUUUCUAGAUAGAGAAAUGCUGGGUCAGAGGACAUAUAACUUGCAUUGCUAAGUUGCCCUAUGAAGGUAUUAAUGUAAAUGAGCUCGUCCUGUGGGAGCAUCCAUUCCUUACACUCUGACAGCAGGCUUUGUUUUUGUUUGUUUUUAAUCACUGCUAAUUUCUGAUUUGGGUAAUCAAAGUGUCCAGAAAAAGAUAUGCCAGAGCAUGUUGGGUAGGACGUUAUAGACAUAUCCUGAAAAGAUUUAGUUGCAGUGUUUCUAGGUUAGUCUGUUCUUGUUCUCCUAGAAAGUAAUCGACUCAGGCAAAGGAGGGACAACUGCGAAUACACUGUGUCCAAGAACAGAUCUGGACAAAAGGAUGACAGUGGAAAUAAAUAUCAGCUUUAUUAACACUCAAAGUGCCAUUCAUUUAUAUUCAUUCCAUAGUCCAGAAGGUUACUUAGAGUAAGCCUUUGCACCUCAAUCUUUCAAAAAAUGAACAUGUAAGAAAAAGCAAUUUUCAUUGUGCUAAUUAUUGCAGGCCUUCAUGCACAAUAAAUCUAAACAAAGAUGUGUGCCAACAAUAUACAAAUUUCCAUAUAAACAAAGUCAUUGAUCACUAACAAAAUAUAAACAUGGUUUCUUUCACAUUAAAAAAAAAAGCUAUUUACCAGCAAGAAAAAGUACAUAAAAAUCGUAAAACUCAGAAAUUUUAUACAUUUUUACAAGCACAAUUUUGAAUGAACAACACAAAGUCAAAAUGUGUAUGAAAUGUGGCACAUACCACACUAUAUCUGGCUUCUGGUAGGUUUUUCUAAUCAUACUGGCUCCUUGUAACAUAAUAAACUUAGUGACAUUCAACUUCAACAGUGGACUUUAUUCCUAACACAAGUAAUUUUACAUGGUACCGCAUAUUAAAAACAAGGUUUUCCUAAGGUACAAUAACAUUAUCAGAUUGGAAAUUUAAUUUCCAAUUCUUUUUCUGCCAGUUACUUAAAAUACACAGUACAGUAUUAAGACACAAUGCCUGUUUGGACAUUUCUAAACCAAUUUAUAGUUAAUUACAGAGAAUCACAAUAUGUCAAUGUAUUGUUUUAUAAAUUCAGUCUGACCUUGCCCAGUAAGAGAAAAACUAAAAGUUGAAAUCUUUGGGGUAGAAUAAAGAAAAUAUUCAAAAACAAGAGGACGAUAGGCCAACAGCAACUGGAGAUAAAACAUCUUGAUAUCUCUUCAAGAUAAUUUAGUUCCUCACAUUUUUUCAUAGCUCUGAGAAUUCAAAGGCCGUUUUAGUGGAUAGUGGGUUUUUGCUACUGCUUAAAACCUAUUUUUUCCUCUUAAUUUGCAUUUCAUAGAAUCCUCAAAAGAGAAUUCAAUGCUCUUUCUUGCAAGAGUAUUUUAAUUGAUAUCUAAGUAAAUCUGCAUCCAAGUCUGGAAAUACAAAUACAUUUUGCAUGGUUAAAAACAAAAUUAAAAAAAUAUUUUUGAUCAGCCAGCUGAAAAUAUAUUCAUAUAGUAAAUAAUCUC